UUCCUACGGGAGGCAGCAGUGGGGAAUAUUGGGCAAUGGGCGCAAGCCUGACCCAGCAACGCCGCGUGAAGGAAGAAGGCUUUCGGGUUGUAAACUUCUUUUGUCAGGGACGAAGCAAGUGACGGUACCUGACGAAUAAGCCACGGCUAACUACGUGCCAGCAGCCGCGGUAAUACGUAGGUGGCAAGCGUUGUCCGGAAUUACUGGGUGUAAAGGGAGCGCAGGCGGGAAGCCAAGUCAGCUGUGAAAACUACGGGCUUAACUUGUAGACUGCAGUUGAAACUGGUUUUCUUGAGUGAAGUAGA
rnacentral:rRNA from 1 species